rnacentral:misc_RNA from 1 species
GAAAACCAUCAAGCCUGGCUUGGUCUUGGGCGCGGUCUGUGGACCCGCCCGCAACCCGUCGGCGGUGCCGGUUCGGCCCUGAGCGUAGCAGAGAUACUCGUUCGGAGGUCGCGGCGGUGCCCGCCAGCAAGUUUCCACCUACG